rnacentral:rRNA from 1 species
AUUGAACGCUGGCGGCAGGCCUAACACAUGCAAGUCGAGCGGAUGAGAGGAGCUUGCUCCUCGAUUCAGCGGCGGACGGGUGAGUAAUGCCUAGGAAUCUGCCCUUCAGUACGGAAUAACCAAGGGAAACUUUGGCUAAUACCGUAUACGCCCUCCGGGGGAAAGAUUUAUCGCUGAAGGAUUAGCCCGCGUCUGAUUAGGUAGUUGGUGAGGUAACGGCUCACCAAGCCGACGAUCAGUAGCUGGUCUGAGAGGAUGAUCAGCCACACUGGGACUGAGACACGGCCCAGACUCCUACGGGAGGCAGCAGUGGGGAAUAUUGGACAAUGGGCGCAAGCCUGAUCCAGCCAUGCCGCGUGUGUGAAGAAGGCCUUCGGGUUGUAAAGCACUUUCAGCGAGGAGGAAGGGUGGUGUGUUAAUAGCACAUCAUUUUGACGUUACUCGCAGAAGAAGCACCGGCUAACUCUGUGACAGCCGCCGCCGUAA